CCUACGGGAGGCAGCAGUGAGGAAUAUUGGUCAAUGGGCGGAAGCCUGAACCAGCCAAGUAGCGUGCAGGAUGACGGCCCUACGGGUUGUAAACUGCUUUUAUACGGGAAUAACGCGCCUUAUGUGUAGGGCUUUGCAUGUACCGUGUGAAUAAGGACCCGCUAAUUCCGUGCCAGCAGCCGCGGUCAUACGGAAGGGCCGGGCGUUAGCCGGAUUUAUUGGGUUUAAAGGGAGCGUAGGCCGCAUGUCAAGCGUGCUGUGAAAUGUCCGGGCUCAACCCGGGCCUUGAAGCGCGAACUGGCGUGCUUGAGUCCGCGGAAAGCAGGCGGAAGUAGUCGUGUAGCGGUGAAAUGCUUAGAUAUGACGAAGAACCCCGAUUGCGAAGGCAGCUUGCUGCAGCGGAACUGACGCUGAUGCUCGAAAGCGCGGGUAGCGAACAGGAUUAGAUACCCCGGUAGUC
rnacentral:rRNA from 1 species